UCGAUCAUCUAUGAAGUGCUUAAGGAGAUGGAACGAAUUGUAGGCAUACUUCACUAUACUUUAUAAACACAAUGAGAUUUCUUAACUUCAUAAGCAAAUGAAUCAAGAUACAAUAGUAGAAUGAAAUAGACUUAACUUUAGAAGAGAAGAACGUUGGGCUGCACUGCUGGCCGCUGGACCUCAAGAACAGCGGCAACAGUGCGACGAAUCAAGCAGACGCCGGCAGCGACGCCCCUAGUCGUCAACGACAGCGCUACUCGC
rnacentral:lncRNA from 1 species